GACGAACGCUGGCGGCGUGCCUAAUACAUGCAAGUUGAGCGCUGAAGGUUGGUACUUGUACCAACUGGAUGAGCAGCGAACGGGUGAGUAACGCGUGGGGAAUCUGCCUUUGAGCGGGGGACAACAUUUGGAAACGAAUGCUAAUACCGCAUAAAAACUUUAAACACAAGUUUUAAGUUUGAAAGAUGCAAUUGCAUCACUCAAAGAUGAUCCCGCGUUGUAUUAGCUAGUUGGUGAGGUAAAGGCUCACCAAGGCGAUGAUACAUAGCCGACCUGAGAGGGUGAUCGGCCACAUUGGGACUGAGACACGGCCCAAACUCCUACGGGAGGCAGCAGUAGGGAAUCUUCGGCAAUGGACGAAAGUCUGACCGAGCAACGCCGCGUGAGUGAAGAAGGUUUUCGGAUCGUAAAACUCUGUUGGUAGCGAAGAACGUUGGUGAGAGUGGAAAGCUCAUCAAGUGACGGUAACUACCCAGAAAGGGACGGCUAACUACGU
rnacentral:rRNA from 1 species